GAAACGCGAAAGGUAAUGCGAAUUGCAGAAUCAGUGAGUCAUCGAAUCUUUGAACGCACAUUGCGCCUCUCGGUAUUCCGGGAGGCACGCCUGUUCGAGCGCCAUUACAAACUCCAAGCGUGGCUUGAUGUUGGGCGAUGUCUUUUUGCGAGAGCGGAGACACGCCUGGAACGCGUUGGCGCCGCCGCCGGACUACGAGCGUAGCAAGACGAGAGUCAAUCGCAUCGAUUUGGAUUCCGACGGAGGUCCGCCAUGGGACUGCACUUUCGAGUGUAAGUUCACAACUUCUCUCAAGUUUGGCCUCGGAUCAGGCGGGGAUACCCGCUGAACUUAAGC
rnacentral:misc_RNA from 1 species